CUUCCAUUAAUUUAUUGUGCUUCCGAUUCUUUACGGAGUCUUCCUCCUCCGUCGUCUCGUCGCGUCAACGACAUCAGGCCGUUUUUUUGUUUGGUCUUCUGCGGGCAAUUUGUACAACUUCAUAUACCGAUUCUUUCUUCUUCUAUUCGAGAUUAUGGGUUCUAAAGCGGCCCUGAUUUUGCUUGGAAUCAUGAUCAUCGGUUGCACUUACAUUGAAUCCAAACAUUUUGUGCACAUGGAUAUGAAGGGAAUUGCGACAAAUGGCCAAAUCUGCCAACUCUGUCAGGAAUUCACCACUAAAGCUAUAUUCUUUCUGGGUGAAAAUCAAACACAGACUGAGAUAAUCAACAAUCUUCAUCAAACAUGUUACCACCUGUUUUCUCCUGAUUUACAGUGUAUUCGGUUGGUGAACAGUUAUGUGCCUCAUUUCUUGGAGGAGAUUGCCAAAUUGCAGCCAAAACUGCUCUGUCAAAAGGUUAACCUGUGUGAGGAGAUUCCAGUGAUUCAUAUAAUAAAACAUGAUGAUCCGUGCACACUCUGCCAUAAUGCUGUUAAUGAGGUUCUUACUAAACUGGAGGAUCCUGAAACGCAGCUUGAGGUGAUUCAGAUUCUCAUAAAAUUGUGCAACAAGGUGGAGAAUUUUGCUCAUGAGUGCAAGAAGUUCGUUCUUGAGUAUGGCCCUAUAAUUAUGGCCAAUACUGAGAAAUUCUUACAGAAAACAGACAUCUGCACUGCAAUACAUGUUUGUAAAGCACACAAAGAAACUGAUGCAGAACAACAUUUGCUGUCUGCUUCUGCCUGAACUGGUUCUUCAUGGAAGAAUAUCAAUGGAUGCUUGAAGCAGCUGCUGUAAAAUAGCAUUUUCUCUUAAAUUGCCUUUUCCAACAGUCCCCACAGUCGGCCACCGCCGGAAGCCGACGGAAAGUGCCGAGCCACGCAAAUGCGGCCACGUGAUUGGUCCGUGCGGACGUACCGUGAUGGGCCCACCACCGCGUAUGCUUUUUGCUUUCGUUCCCACCCCUCAUUUUGGCUGCACGCGUCUCUCGCUGAACGGGAGAGCUGAGUUAAAUUAAUAUUUGUAGGAAGACUUUAACGUUUUACAUGCAUCCCCACUAAAUUUAUAUUAUUU